GCACCUACGGGAGGCAGCAGUGGGGAAUAUUGCACAAUGGGGGAAACCCUGAUGCAGCGACGCCGCGUGAGUGAUGAAGUAUUUCGGUAUGUAAAGCUCUAUCAGCAGGGAAGAUAAUGACGGUACCUGACUAAGAAGCUCCGGCUAAAUACGUGCCAGCAGCCGCGGUAAUACGUAUGGAGCAAGCGUUAUCCGGAUUUACUGGGUGUAAAGGGAGCGCAGACGGCAGGGCAAGUCUGAUGUGAAAGUCCGGGGCCCAACCCCGGGACUGCAUUGGAAACUGUCCGGCUAGAGUGCAGGAGAGG
rnacentral:rRNA from 1 species